AUUAUAUUUUCUAUUAAUCCAUUAUUUGAUCCAAAUAAUUUGCGUAAAAUUAAAGACGCUCUCCGGACCCGUCACGGAUCCGAGCGAGCUCCCGAAGUGGAACUACGACGGCUCGAGCACCGGCCAGGCGCCGGGCAAGGACAGCGAAGUGAUCCUUUACCCUCAAGCCAUUUUCAAGGACCCAUUCAGGAGGGGAAAUAAUAUUCUUGUAAUGUGUGAUUGCUACACCCCACAAGGAGAUCCAAUCCCUACCAACAAAAGAAACAAUGCAG